UUUGUUUCAUACAGUUCAAAAUGUGUAACAGGUAGAAGUGUUUCAGUCAAAAGUACAUUAGUCCACUGUGUUUUACGUUCCGCCCCGGAACCAAUGUUCCCUGUGUAGUACCACUACGACGGAAUUCAUUGAGGGACUGAAACAAUCCAACGUAAGUGAAGGAGCAGAUGCCUUUCGCGGGCUCUGUAAAGUGUUUAAAGCUAUGAUUAUCGACGUCUGAAGCUAAAAGCAGACAGUCAAAGAGACUUUCAAAAGGACUUUCAUGGACUCAAGAACCUCUUUUCAUGACAAGCGGCCAACGAGUUUUCACGGCGUGUGCAUGACGUGACUGAGAAGUGAAGCAUCAGAGAAAGACGUGUCCAAGCAAUAAACGCCCGUAUCAAAGAA